rnacentral:rRNA from 1 species
UACGGAGGGGGCAAGCGUUAUUCGGAAUUACUGGGCGUAAAGGGCGCGUAGGCGGCCUUGUAAGUCCUGUGUGAAAUCCCCCGGCUCAACUGGGGAACUGCACAGGAGACUGCUUGGCUUGAGUUCGGGAGAGGGAAGCGGAAUUCCGGGUGUAGCGGUGAAAUGCGUAGAUAUCCGGAGGAACACCGGUGGCGAAGGCGGCUUCCUGGACCGACACUGACGCUGAGGCGCGAAAGCCAGGGGAGCAAACGGG